GCACUGUUUCAGAGCUACUUCCUUCACAAGGACUCAUGAGCUGACACAAAUGUAGUUAUCCUGCAUAACCUAAUCCUUUGCAGCUCACAACCCAGAAAUAGUCAGUUUUUCUACAGGAACCUGAAGACUGCAACUCACAGCCCAUCACUAGUCACGUGUGCUCUCAAUGUUAUUUCCUUAUCAACUGGCAUCUAUUUUUAAAUUUCUGGAAUCUUAUAUCUUUUUCAUUUUACUAAUCAGGUUUUUCUACAUGAGACUCUAAGACAGCAACUCACAGCCCAACACUAGUGAGGUAUGUUCCCAUUUAUUAUUUCAUUUUUAGUUACUGACCGACUUCCUUUCAAAAAUUCUGUUUUUUCUACACGAGACCCAAAGACCACAACUCACAGCCUAGCACUAGU
rnacentral:lncRNA from 1 species